rnacentral:rRNA from 1 species
UUAUCUCUGUAGAGUCUGCAUAUCAAUAAGCGGAGGAAAAGAAACUAACUAGGAUUCCCUCAGUAACGGCGAGUGAAGCGGGAAGAGCUCAAAUUUGAAAUCUUCAAGGUUUUACCUUGACGAAUUGUAGUUUAAAGAAGUGUUUUCUGUUGGAGUUUUGGUAAAAGUUCUUUGGAAUAGGACAUCAUAGAGGGUGAGAAUCCCGUAUUUGACCAUUAUUUCCAGCUUUGUGAUACACUUUCAAAGAGUCGGAUUGUUUGGGAAUGCAGUCCAAAAUGGGUGGUAAAUUUCAUCUAAAGCUAAAUACUGGCGAGAGAGCCGAUAGCGAACAAGUACCGUGAGGGAAAGAUGAAAAGAACUUUGAAAAGAGAGUUAAACAGUACGUGAAAUUGUCAAAAGGGAAGCGUUUGACACCAGUGUUGUUUUCUCGAAAAUCAAUUAAAAAUGGCGGGAUUUUGUGUUGUAUUGACUUUAUCAGCUUUCUGCACUUUUUUCCUGUCUUUUUUAAUGCACUUUUCGUUUAACAAGUCAACAUCAAUUUCUUUUGUUGUAAAAGGGUCAUUGGAAGGUGGCUUUCUUUUCGGAGAAAGUGUUUAUAGCCUUUGGCCUCUGCAAUCGGAGAGAUUGAGGUCUGCAGCGUAGAUCCUUCGGGGUUAGAUACAUUUGUGCUAAGUUAUAGCCUUUCAUAGACAACUUGUUGACUAUGAUCAGUCGUGUAGCUUACUCGCUUAUGCUAUUUUACCUACGCUUAGGAUGUUGAGUCAUCACACAUCUCU